GUACAACUUUUAAUGGCCAUGGGGUGUAGAUUGGCCUGAGCAAAUGUGGUGCCGUUGGAACGAAAGCCUUCGGAGGAGUUAGCAAAAUUCCAAUGUGUGCGGAUCGGCAAAAAAUGCAAAAUAACCCUUUAACCGUACAUUUGACAGAUACGCCCGCACUGACUUUUUUGUAGAUCUUAUUGAGAUACAUGUGUGUGUCAAUUUUUGUGUCAAUAUGACAAAGCGUAAAGGCGUGACAGUCAAUAGUGUGAAUUUUCACCUUAGGGGGCGCUAUGGAGCCAUUUUGCAUUUUAUUGUUUGGGCGACUUCAGAAUAUCGAAUUUUUCACCAGGCCCGGUCGUCCUGCCAAAUUUCAUGAGUUUUCGCCAGUGGGAAGUGAGUUUUUUUCCAGUUUAAAGCGGAGGAAAAAUAAUAAUAAUAAUAAUAACAAAAGAAGAAUCCAUCAGGAACAAGAGGGCUCUCGCAGCUGCUUAGCAGCUACGCUCGGGCCCUAAAGAAGAAUCCAUCAGGAACAAGAGGGCUCUCGCAGCUGCUUAGCAGCUACGCUCGGGCCCUAACUAGGACCCCGUUGGGGCACUGGCGGGCCCGAGCUGUGUCGCGUCCCCCCCCCCAACGCGCUGCCUCCCCGUCCCAUUUGUUUCCUCUGGCCAUCGCCCUCUCUGGUAACGCCCAUCACUGCAAAGACCCUUUUCCUUCAUCGGCGUUUGCUGUUCUUCCUGCCAGUGCGUGUUGCUUUCACUUACACUUGCCACAGCCAGCCUCGUGAGUGCCUAGCCUAUUGGAUAUCACUGUCAUCUACACAGGACAGUCAUAACCUUUCUAUUAAUACUUUGUUUUUUAAUUUCACAUUAAUUUCCAUAUUGUAUAAAUGACUGGAAAAAACUUGAGCCCCUGCCCCUGUAUAAUCAUGUGCACGUCCCUGUUCUAGCUCCAAGGUGAAUCUUCACUGCUCAUGUUCUCCUCAGAAAUAGUCACCUCACUCCCCUCAGGUUACUGUACACAUGCACCAACUAUCUGCUUCAGGUUUGGAUGGAACUUCAUGGUUGUCUUUUGGAGAAAUGAACAGUCAAGUUGUGUUUAAAAUUUGAUUUUUUUCAGGGGCAAAAGGAAGCCUCUGCAUUCUUGUCAAAUAUGUAAACAGCAUGUUUUUGCAGGUGCUAAAAAACAGACUCUGAGUGUGUGUGUGUGUGUGUGUGUGUGUGUGUGUGUGUGUGUGUGUGUGUGUGUGUGUGUGUGUUGGCGUGUGUGUAUAUGUGUGUGUAUCCUGCAGUACUCUGUACUCCUGCAGUGGCCAUAAAGACUUUUAAGAAUGUGGAUUUUUGGGUCAUCUUUGGCGCCCCCUAGAACUGCAGUACUCUGUACUCCUGCAGUGGCCAAAAUGACUUUUAAGAAUGUGGAUUUUUGGGUCAUCUUUGGCGCCCCCUAGAACGUAAACCGUGGGGUGCAGCGUCAUGAUUUUUACAACUUUGAAUGGGCAUGGGGUGUAGAUUGCCCUGAGCAAAUUUGGUAUCAGUGGGACGAAAGCCUUAGGAGGAGAUAGCCACAUUCCAAUGUGUGCGAAUCGGCAAAAAAUGCGAAAUAGCCCUUUAACCGUACAUUAUACAGAUACGCGCUCUUUGACUUUUUCGUAGAUCUAAUUGAGAUACACAUGAUUGUCAAUUUUUGUGUCAAUAUGACAAAGCGUUCAGGCGUGACACUCAACAAUGUGUAUUUUCAUGUAAGGGGACAAGAAAAAAUUGACUUUUUUCUCCUGCCAUGGGGGGGCGCUCUUUUGGGGAGUAAAAAUUCCUUCAAAAAUGUGUUGAUGGCUGGACAUUGCAUCAUCCUAGAAAACUUGGAGGGCAGUGAGGACAAAAAUAAAAAGUUAUAAGACUUUUAAGAAUGUGGAUUUUGGGUUAUCUUUGGCGCCCCCUAGAACCUAAACCGUGGGGUGCAGCGUCAUGAUUUGUACAACUUUUAAUGGCCAUGGGGUGUAGACUGGCCUGAGCAAAUGUGGUGCCGGUGGAACGAAAGCCUUCGGAGGAGUUAGCGAAAUUCCAAUGUGUGCGGAUCGGCAAAAAAUGCGAAAUAACCCUUUAACCGUACAUUUGACAGAUACGCCCGCACUGACUUUUUUGUAGAUCUUAUUGAGAUACAUAUGUGUGUCAAUUUUUGUGUCAAUAUGACAAAACGUACAGACGUGACAGUCAAUAGUGUGAAUUUCCACCUUAGGGGGCGCUAUGGAGCCAUUUUGCAUUUUAUUGUUUGGGCGACUUCAGAAUAUCGAAUUUUUCACCAGGCCCGGUCGUCCUGCCAAAUUUCAUGAGUUUUCGCCAGUGGGAAGUGGGCCAUUUUCCAGUUUAAAGCGGUGGAAAAAUAAUAACUAGGACCCCGUUGGGGCACUGGCGGGCCCGUGCCGUGUCGCGUCCCCCCCCCCCCCCCCUAGCCUAUUGGAUAUCACUGUCACCUACACAGGACAGUCAUUACCUUUCUAUUAAUACUUUGUGUUUUAAUUUCACAUUAAUUUCCAUAUUGUAUAAACGACUGGAAAAAACUUGAGCCCCUGCCCCUGUAUAAUCAUGUGCAUGUCUCUGUUCUAGCUCCAAGGUGAAUCUUCACUGCUCAUGUUCUCCUCAGAAGCACUCACCUCACUCCCCUUAGGUUACUGUACACAUGCACCAACUGCCUGCUUCAGGUUUGGAUGGAGCUUCAUGGUUGUCUUUUGGAGAAAUGACCAGUCAAGUUGUGUUUGAAAUUUGAUUUUUUUCAGGGGCAAAAGGAGCCUCUGCAUUCUUGUCAAAUAUGUAAAUAGCAUGUUUUUGCAGGUGCUAAAAACCAGACUCUGAGUGUGUGUGUGUGUGUGUGUGUGUGUGUGUGUGUGUGUGUGUGUGUGCGUGUGUGUGUGUCUAUGUGUGCGUUCAAGUCACAUGACAUAUUUAACCGGAUGUAGCUGCAAGACGGAGCCUCGUUGACUCUCCGUUUCAACUUAUCUCAAAAGUGAGGACCUCAACCUAUAUACCAGUUUUUAAAUUGUGUUGAUAGGCCAAAUAAAACCAGAGUUAUGAUAAAUUAUGUCCGCGAUACUUUUUUUCUGCUUAUUUUGAUCACGUUCGGCGCUCGAUCGCGCUGUAUGAGACAGGAAAACAUAGCAUGCAGACAUUAGCGACAGGUCUUACAGGCGGAAAAGGCUUGCCAAAAGAAAAAAAAAACACACCACAACAUCUCUCCUAUUGGUGGAAAACUUCACCACAACAACCAAUCCAAAAUUAUAUGGUGACUGAUUGACAAGGGGCGGGCGCUUACGUUCUUCCUGCAACAUGAGAAGGGAGGGAGGGACUCUCAGCAGGGAUGCAGUCUGGGACACGUAGUUGCAAACCUAGCGACUUUGUUGUUAGAUUCAAUGACUUUUCAGACCCCCUAACGACUUUUUUUUAGAAAGAAAGGGACUUUUAUCGACUUCUUCUGGAGUUUAGAGACUCUGACAUGAAGCAGGCUUUCCUUACUGAGGAGUUAGCAACGCUGCUAAGGGUGCAGAGCCACACAUGCGCUCAGAGCUCUGCAUGGGAGACUGAAGCUGACAGAGCUGCAGCAGUUAGCAGGUUUCACCCUCAGAGACCACCAGGGGUUCAUGUUGAGGCAUUUUAAUUUUUUUUUUUUUUGUGCCAUAGACACUGUCAGCACAAUCUGCAGUUACACUAACAAAAAUGCUGCAAAAAACAAAGAAUUAUGGAAAAAUUACACAUGGACUGACAUAGAGGAGGAUCUACACAAGUUUUUUACAUCAUGUUUUACAUCAUGCAUCAUUUACAUCAUGUUUUUUUGUAGUGGCAUAAAUAAAAAGUGACAUUUGUGAGACUAUACAGUGUUUUGUAAAUAAUUUUACAAAGAACGCCUGGGCCAUUGCCUGCAUUUUGAUGUAAAUAGAGGUAAAUUACUAUGUUCUUUGUUAAAAAUUUGCACAUGUUUUGAAAUUUACAAUUUUUAUUUGAAGUUUAAGUUUUAAAAACAGUUCAUCACACAUAUUUGUGGUUUAAUUUCACAUUAAUUUCCAUAUUGUAUAAAUGACUGGAAAAAACUUGAGCCCCUGCCCCUGUAUAAUCAUGUGCACGUCCCUGUUCUAGCUCCAAGGUGAAUCUUCACUGCUCAUGUUCUCCUCAGAAAUAGUCACCUCACUCCCCUCAGGUUACUGUACACAUGCACCAACUAUCUGCUUCAGGUUUGAAAUGGAGCUUCAUGGUUGUCUUUUGGAGAAAUGAACAGUCAAGUUGUGUUUGAAAUUUGAUUUUUUUCAGGGGCAAAAGGAAGCCUCUGCAUUCUUGUCAAAUAUGUAAACAGCAUGUUUUUGCAGGUGCUAAAAAACAGACUCUGAGUGUGGGUGUGUGUCUGUGUGUGUGUGUGUGUGUGUGUGUGUGUGUGUGUGUGUGUGUGUGUGUGUAUGUUGGCGUGUGUGUAUAUGUGUGUGUAUCCUGCAGUACUCUGUACUCCUGCAGUGGCCAAAAAGACUUUUAAGAAUGUGGAUUUUUGGGUCAUCUUUGGCGCCCCCUAGAACUGCAGUACUCUGUACUCCUGCAGUGGCCAAAAUGACUUUUAAGAAUGUGGAUUUUUGGGUCAUCUUUGGCGCCCCCUAGAACCUAAACCGUGGGGUGCAGCGUCAUGAUUUUUACAACUUUGAAUGGGCAUGGGGUGUAGAUUGCCCUGAGCAAAUUUGGUAUCGGUGGGACGAAAGCCUUAGGAGGAGAUAGCCACAUUCCAAUGUGUGCGAAUCGGCAAAAAAUGCAAAAUAGCCCUUUAACCGUACAUUAUACAGAUACGCGCUCUUUGACUUUUUCGUAGAUCUAAUUGAGAUACACAUGAUUGUCAAUUUUUGUGUCAAUAUGACAAAGCGUUCAGGCGUGACACUCAACAAUGUGUAUUUUUAUGUAAGGGGACAAGAAAAAAUGGACUUUUUUCUCCUGCCAUGGGGGGGCGCUCUUUUAGGGAGUAAAAAUUCCUUCACAAAUGUGUUGAUGGCUGGACAUUGCAUCAUCCUAGAAAACUUGGAGGCCAGUGAGGACAAAAAUAAAAAGUUAUAAGACUUUUAAAUAUGUGGAUUUUACGGUUAUCUUUGGCGCCCCCUAGAACGUAAACCGUGGGGUGCAGCGUCAUGAUUUGAAUAACUUUUAAUGGCCAUGGGGUGUAGAUUGGCCUGAGCAAAUGUGGUGCCGGUGGAACGAAAGCCUUCGGAGGAGUUAGCGAAAUUCCAAUGUGUGCGGAUCGGCAAAAAAUGCGAAAUAACCCUUUAACCGUACAUUAGACAGAUACGCGCGCAUGGACUUUUUUGUAGAUCUUAUUGAGAUACAUGUGUGUGUCAAUUUUUGUGUCAUUUUGACAAAGCGUACAGGCGUGACAGUCAAUAGUGUGAAUUUUCACCUUAGGGGACAAGAAAAAAUGGACUUUUUUCUCCUGCCAUGGGGGGCGCUCUUUUGGGGAGUAAAAAUUCCUUCACAAAUGUGUUGAUGGCUGGACAUUGCAUCAUCCUAGAAAACUUGGAGGCCAGUGAGGGCAAAAAUAAAAAGUUAUAAGACUUUUAAAUAUGUGGAUUUUAGGGUUAUCUUUGGCGCCCCCUAGAACCUAAACCGUGGGGUGCAGCGUCAUGAUUUGAAUAACUUUUAAUGGCCAUGGGGUGUAGAUUGGCCUGAGCAAAUGUGGUGCCGGUGGAACGAAAGCCUUCGGAGGAGUUAGCGAAAUUCCAAUGUGUGCGGAUCGGCAAAAAAUGCGAAAUAACCCUUUAACCGUACAUUUGACAGAUACGCCCGCACUGACUUUUUUGUAGAUCUUAUUGAGAUACAUGUGUGUGUCAAUUUUUGUGUCAUUUUGACAAAGCGUACAGGCGUGACAGUCAAUAGUGUGAAUUUUCACCUUAGGGGGCGCUAUGGAGCCAUUUUGCAUUUUCUUGUUUGGGCGACUUCGGAAUAUCAAAUUUUUCACCAGGCCCGGUCGUCCUGCCAAAUUUCAUGAGUUUUCGCCAGUGGGAAGUGGGCCAUUUUCCAGUUCAAAGGGGAGGAAAAAUAAUAAUAAUAAUAAUAACAAAAGAAGGAAACAUGCAGGAACAAGAGGGCUCUCGCAGCUGCUUAGCAGCUACGCUCGGGCCCUAACUAGGACCCCGUUGGGGCACUGGCGGGCCCGAGCUGUGUCGCGUCCCCCCCCCAACGCGCUGCCUCCCCGUCCCAUUUGUUUCCUCUGGCCAUCGCCCUCUCUGGUAACGCCCAUCACUGCAAAGACCCUUUUCCUUCAUCGGCGUUUGCUGUUCUUCCUGCCAGUGCGUGUUGCUUUCACUUACACUUGCCACAGCCAGCCUCGUGAGUGCCUAGCCUAUUGGAUAUCACUGUCAUCUACACAGGACAGUCAUAACCUUUCUAUUAAUACUUUGUUUUUUAAUUUCACAUUAAUUUCCAUAUUGUAUAAAUGACUGGAAAAAACUUGAGCCCCUGCCCCUGUAUAAUCAUGUGCACGUCCCUGUUCUAGCUCCAAGGUGAAUCUUCACUGCUCAUGUUCUCCUCAGAAAUAGUCACCUCACUCCCCUCAGGUUACUGUACACAUGCACCAACUAUCUGCUUCAGGUUUGGAUGGAACUUCAUGGUUGUCUUUUGGAGAAAUGAACAGUCAAGUUGUGUUUGAAAUUUGAUUUUUUUCAGGGGCAAAAGGAAGCCUCUGCAUUCUUGUCAAAUAUGUAAACAGCAUGUUUUUGCAGGUGCUAAAAAACAGACUCUGAGUGUGUGUGUGUGUGUGUGUGUGUGUGUGUGUGUGUGUGUGUGUGUGUGUUGGCGUGUGUGUAUAUGUGUGUGUAUCCUGCAGUACUCUGUACUCCUGCAGUGGCCAUAAAGACUUUUAAGAAUGUGGAUUUUUGGGUCAUCUUUGGCGCCCCCUAGAACUGCAGUACUCUGUACUCCUGCAGUGGCCAAAAUGACUUUUAAGAAUGUGGAUUUUUGGGUCAUCUUUGGCGCCCCCUAGAACGUAAACCGUGGGGUGCAGCGUCAUGAUUUUUACAACUUUGAAUGGGCAUGGGGUGUAGAUUGCCCUGAGCAAAUUUGGUAUCAGUGGGACGAAAGCCUUAGGAGGAGAUAGCCACAUUCCAAUGUGUGCGAAUCGGCAAAAAAUGCGAAAUAGCCCUUUAACCGUACAUUAUACAGAUACGCGCUCUUUGACUUUUUCGUAGAUCUAAUUGAGAUACACAUGAUUGUCAAUUUUUGUGUCAAUAUGACAAAGCGUUCAGGCGUGACACUCAACAAUGUGUAUUUUCAUGUAAGGGGACAAGAAAUAAUUGACUUUUUUCUCCUGCCAUGGGGGGGCGCUCUUUUGGGGAGUAAAAAUUCCUUCAAAAAUGUGUUGAUGGCUGGACAUUGCAUCAUCCUAGAAAACUUGGAGGGCAGUGAGGACAAAAAUAAAAAGUUAUAAGACUUUUAAGAAUGUGGAUUUUUGGGUUAUCUUUGGCGCCCCCUAGAACCUAAACCGUGGGGUGCAGCGUCAUGAUUUGUACAACUUUUAAUGGCCAUGGGGUGUAGACUGGCCUGAGCAAAUGUGGUGCCGGUGGAACGAAAGCCUUCGGAGGAGUUAGCGAAAUUCCAAUGUGUGCGGAUCGGCAAAAAAUGCGAAAUAACCCUUUAACCGUACAUUUGACAGAUACGCCCGCACUGACUUUUUUGUAGAUCUUAUUGAGAUACAUAUGUGUGUCAAUUUUUGUGUCAAUAUGACAAAACGUACAGACGUGACAGUCAAUAGUGUGAAUUUCCACCUUAGGGGGCGCUAUGGAGCCAUUUUGCAUUUUAUUGUUUGGGCGACUUCAGAAUAUCGAAUUUUUCACCAGGCCCGGUCGUCCUGCCAAAUUUCAUGAGUUUUCGCCAGUGGGAAGUGGGCCAUUUUCCAGUUUAAAGCGGAGGAAAAAUAAUAAUAAUAACUAGGGCCCCGGUGGGGCACUGGCGGGCCCGAGCCGUGUCACGCCACCCCCAGCGCGACCGCCUCCCCCUCCCGAUCGCGUCACACUCAAGGUCCAAAGAUGGUGUGCGCACUUGUCUGUGGUCAUUUACCAUUAUAAUGAAUGGGAGGCGCAGUUUCUACCAAAACGCUCGCUGCAGACAAACUCCAUGUCCUUUUUGAAAAAAGUCUGGACCAUGAGUGAGGGCACAAACACAGCUAGUAUAUAUCCAAAUGGCAAGUUGCUCCUCCUUUCGGUUUUGCCGAGAGAGCGAUGCGUUUGAGCCAUUGAGCGAUGGGCAGGAAAAACUUGACUUUUUCUCCUGCCAUGGGGGGGCGCUCUUUUGGGGAGAAAAAAUUCCUUCACAAAUGUGUUGAUGGCUGGACAUUGCAUCAUCCUAGAAAACUUGGAGGCCAGUGAGGACAAAAAUAAAAAGUUAUAAGACUUUAAAAAUGUGGAUAUUUGGGUCCUCUUUGGCGCCCCCUAGAACGUAGACCAUAGGGUGCAGCGUCAUGAUUUUUACAACUUUGAAUGGCCAUGGGGUGUAGAUUGGCCUGAGCAAAUUUGGUGUCAGUGGGACGAAAGCCUUAGGAGGAGUUAGCCACAUUCCAAUGUGUGCAAAUCGGCAAAAAAUGCGAAAUAGCCCUUUAACCGUACAUUUGACAGAUACGCCUGCAUUGACUUUUUCGUAGAUCUUAUUGAGAUACACGUGAUUGUCAAAUUUUGUGUCAAUAUGACAAAGCGUACAGGCGUGACAUUCAACAAUGUGUAUUUUCACCUUAGGGGACAAGAAAAAAUUGACUUUUUUGUCCUGCCAUGGGGGGGGCGCUCUUUUGGGGAGUAAAAAUUCCUUCACAAAUGUGUUGAUGGCUGGACAUUGCAUCAUCCUAGAAAACUUGGAGGCCAGUGAGGGCAAAAAUAAAAAGUUAUAAAACUUUUAAGAAUGUGGAUUUUAGGGUUAUUUUUGGCGCCCCCUAGAACCUAAACCAUGGGGUGCAGCAUCAUGAUUUGUACAACUUUGAAUGGCCAUGGAGUGUAGAUUGGCCUGAGCAAAUGUGGUGCCGGUGGACCGAAAGCCUUCGGAGGAGUUAGCGAAAUUCCAAUGUGUGCGGAUCUGCAAAAAAUGCGAAAUAACCCUUUAACCGUACAUUUGACAGAUACGCCCGCACUGACUUUUUUGUAGAUCUUAUUGAGAUACAUGUGUGUGUCAAUUUUUGUGUCAAUAUGACAAAGCGUACAGACGUGACAGUCAAUAGUGUGAAUUUUCACCUUAGGGGGCGCUAUGGAGCCAUUUUGUAUUUUAUUGUUUGGGCGACUUCAGAAUAUCGAAUUUUUCACCAGGCCCGGUCGUCCUGCCAAAUUUCCUGAGUUUUCGCCAGUGGGAAGUGGGCCAUUUUCCAGUUUAAAGCGGAGGAAAAAUAAUAAUAAUAAUAACAAAAGAAGAAUCCAUCAGGAACAAGAGGGCUCUCGCAGCUGCUUAGCAGCUACGCUCGGGCCCUAAUAAUAACAAAAGAAGAAUCCAUCAGGAACAAGAGGGCUCUCGCAGCUGCUUAGCAGCUACGCUCGGGCCCUAAAUAACAAAAGAAGAAUCCAUCAGGAACAAGAGGGCUCUCGCAGCUGCUUAGCAGCUACGCUCGGGCCCUAAGAAAGAAAGAACUAGGGCCCCGUUGGGGCACUGGCGGGCCCGAGCCGUGUCGCGCCGCCCCCAGCGCGACCGCCUACCCCUCCCGAUCGCGUCACACUCAAGGUCCAAAGAUGGUGUGCGCACUUGUCUGUGGUCAUUUACCAUUAUAAUGAAUGGGAGGCGCAGUUUCUACCAAAACGCUCGCUGCAGACAAACUCCAUGUCCUUUUUGAAAAAAGUCUGGACCAUGAGUGAGGGCACAAACACAGCUAGUAUAUAUCCAAAUGGCAAGUUGCUCCUCCUUUCCGUUUUGCCGAUAGAGCGAUGCGUUUGAGCCAUUGAGCGAUGGGCAGGAAAAACUUGACUUUUUCGACUGCCAUGGGGGGGCGCUCUUUUGGGGAGAAAAAAUUCCUUCACAAAUGUGUUGAUGGCUGGACAUUGCAUCAUCCUAGAAAACUUGGAGGCCAGUGAGGACAAAAAUAAAAAGUUAUAAGACUUUAAAAAUGUGGAUAUUUGGGUCCUCUUUGGCGCCCCCUAGAACGUAGACCAUGGGGUGCAGCGUCAUGAUUUUUACAACUUUGAAUGGCCAUGGGGUGUAGAUUGGCCUGAGCAAAUGUGGUGCCGGCGGAACGAAAGCCUUAGGAGGAGUUAGCCACAUUCCAAUGUGUGCGGAUCUGCAAAAAAUGCGAAAUAGCCCUUUAACCGUACAUUUUACAGAUACGCGCGCGUUGACUUUUUCGUAGAUCUUAUUGAGAUACACGUGAUUGUCAAAUUUUGUGUCAAUAUGACAAAGCGUACAGGCGUGACAUUCAACAAUGUGUAUUUUCACCUUAGGGGACAAGAAAAAAUUGACUUUUUUGUCCUGCCAUGGGGGGGCGCUCUUUUGGGGAGUAAAAAUUCCUUCACAAAUGUGUUGAUGGCUGGACAUUGCAUCAUCCUAGAAAACUUGGAGGCCAGUGAGGGCAAAAAUAAAAAGUUAUAAAACUUUUAAGAAUGUGGAUUUUAGGGUUAUUUUUGGCGCCCCCUAGAACCUAAACCAUGGGGUGCAGCAUCAUGAUUUGUACAACUUUGAAUGGCCAUGGAGUGUAGAUUGGCCUGAGCAAAUGUGGUGCCGGUGGACCGAAAGCCUUCGGAGGAGUUAGCGAAAUUCCAAUGUGUGCGGAUCUGCAAAAAAUGCGAAAUAACCCUUUAACCGUACAUUUGACAGAUACGCCCGCACUGACUUUUUUGUAGAUCUUAUUGAGAUACAUGUGUGUGUCAAUUUUUGUGUCAAUAUGACAAAGCGUACAGGCGUGACAGUCAAUAGUGUAAAUUUUCACCUUAGGGGGCGCUAUGGAGCCAUUUUGUAUUUUAUUGUUUGGGCGACUUCAGAAUAUCGAAUUUUUCACCAGGCCCGGUCGUCCUGCCAAAUUUCCUGAGUUUUCGCCAGUGGGAAGUGGGCCAUUUUCCAGUUUAAAGCGGAGGAAAAAUAAUAACUAGGGCCCCGUUGGGGCACUGGCGGGCCCGAGCUGUGUCGCGUCCCCCCCCCAACGCGCUGCCUCCCCGUCCCAUUUGUGUCCUCUGGCCAUCGCCCUCUUUGGUAACGCCCAUCACUGCAAAGACCCUUUUCCUUCAUCGGCGUUUGCUGUUCUUCCUGCCAGUGCGUGUUGCUUUCACUUACACUUGCCACAGCCAGCCUCGUGAGUGCCUAGCCUAUUGGAUAUCACUGUCACCUACACAGGACAGUCAUACUUUGUUUUUUAAUUUCACAUUAAUUUCCAUAUUGUAUAAACGACUGGAAAAAACUUGAGCCCCUGCCCCUGUAUUAUCAUGUGCACGUCCCUGUUCUAGCUCCAAGGUGAAUCUUCACUGCUCAUGUUCUCCUCAGAAGCAGUCACCUCACUCCCCUCAGGUUACUGUACACAUGCACCAACUGCCUGCUUCAGGUUUGGAUGGAGCUUCAUGGUUGUCUUUUGGAGAAAUGAGCAGUCAAGUUGUGUUUGAAAUUUGAUUUUUUUCAGGGGCAAAAGGAAGCCUCUGCAUUCUUGUCAAAUAUGUAAAUAGCAUGUUUUUGCAGGUGCUAAAAAACAGACUCUGAGUGUGUGUGUGUGUGUGUGCGUGUGUGUGUCUGUGUGUGUGUGUGUGUGUGUGUAUCCUGCAGUACUCUGAGAAGAAUAAUAAGCAUAUUUCUGAGGUGAAUUUUGAAGAUUCAUCUGAGAGUUAGGUUUGAUUCGAUUCGAUUGACGCUCCCCAGCGUUCAAGUCACAUGACAUAUUUAACCGGAUGUAGCUGCAAGACGGAGCCUCGUUAACUCUCCGUUUCAACUUAUCUCAAAAGUGAGGACCUCAACCUAUAUACCAGUUUUUAAAUUGUGUUGAUAGGCCAAAUAAAACCAGAGUUAUGAUAAAUUAUGUCCGCGAUACUUUUUUUCUGCUUAUUUUGAUCACGUUCGGCGCUCGAUCGCGCUGUAUGAGACAGGAAAACAUAGCAUGCACACAUUAGUGACAGGUCUUACAGGCGGAAAAGGCUUGCCAAAAGAAAAAAAAAACACACCACAACAUCUCUCCUAUUGGUGGAAAACUUCACCACAACAACCAAUCCAAAAUUAUAUGGUGACUGAUUGACAAGGGGCGGGCGCUUACGUUCUUCCUGCAACAUGAGAAGGGAGGGAGGGACUCUCAGCAGGGAUGCAGUCUGGGACACGUAGUUGCAAACCUAGCGACUUUGUUGUUAGAUUCAAUUACUUUUCAGACCCCCUAACGACUUUUUUUAGAAAGAAAGGGACUUUUAUCGACUUCUUCUGGAGUUUAGAGACUCUGACAUGAAGCAGGCUUUCCUUACUGAGGAGUUAGCAACGCUGCUAAGGGUGCAGAGCCACACAUGCGCUCCGAGCUCUGCAUGGGAGACUGAAGCUGACAGAGCUGCAGCAGUUAGCAGGUUUCACCCUCAGAGACCACCAGGGGUUCAUGUUGAGGCAUUUUCAGUUUUUGUUUUUUUUUGCCAUAGACUGUCAGCACAAUCUGCAGUUACACUAACAAAAAUGCUGCAAAAAACAAAGAAUUAUGGAAAAAUUACACAUGGACUGACAUAGAGGAGGAUCUACACAAGUUUUUUACAUCAUGUUUUACAUCAUGCAUCAUUUACAUCAUGUUUUUUUGUAGUGGCAUAAAUAAAAAGUGACAUUUGUGAGACUAUACAGUGUUUUGUAAAUAAUUUUACAAAGAACGCCUGGGCCAUUGCCUGCAUUUUGAUGUAAAUAGAGGUAAAUUACUAUGUUCUUUGUUAAAAAUUUGCAUAUGUUUUGAAGUUUACAAUUUUUAUUUGAAGUUUAAGUUUUAAAAACAGUUCAUCACACAUAUUUGUGUUUUAAUUUCACAUUAAUUUCCAUAUUGUAUAAAUGACUGGAAAAAACUUGAGCCCCUGCCCCUGUAUAAUCAUGUGCACGUCCCUGUUCUAGCUCCAAGGUGAAUCUUCACUGCUCAUGUUCUCCUCAGAAAUAGUCACCUCACUCCCCUCAGGUUACUGUACACAUGCACCAACUAUCUGCUUCAGGUUUGGAUGGAGCUUCAUGGUUGUCUUUUGGAGAAAUGAACAGUCAAGUUGUGUUUGAAAUCUGAUUUUUUUCAGGGGCAAAAGGAAGCCUCUGCAUUCUUGUCAAAUAUGUAAACAGCAUGUUUUUGCAGGUGCUAAAAAACAGACUCUGAGUGUGUGUGUGUGUGUGUGUGUGUGUGUGUGUGUGUGUGUGUGUGUGUGUGUGUGUGUGUGUGUAUGUGUAUGUGUGUGUGUAAGUGUGUAUAUGUGUGUGUAUCCUGCAGUACUCUGUACUCCUGCAGUGGCCAAAAAGACUUUUAAGAAUGUGGAUUUUUGGGUCAUCUUUGGCGCCCCCUAGAACUGCAGUACUCUGUACUCCUGCAGUGGCCAAAAUGACUUUUAAGAAUGUGGAUUUUUGGGUCAUCUUUGGUGCCCCCUAGAACGUAAACCGUGGGGUGCAGCGUCAUGAUUUUUACAACUUUGCAUGGGCAUGGGGUGUAGAUUGCCCUGAGCAAAUUUGGUAUCGAUGGGACGAAAGCCUUAGGAGGAGAUAGCCACAUUCCAAUGUGUGCGAAUCGGCAAAAAAUGCGAAAUAGCCCUUUAACCGUACAUUAUACAGAUACGCGCUUUUUGACUUUUUCGUAGAUCUAAUUGAGAUACACGUGAUUGUCAAUUUUUGUGUCAAUAUGACAAAGCGUUCAGGCAUGACACUCAACAAUGUGUAUUUUCAUGUAAGGGGACAAGAAAAAAUUGACUUUUUUCUCCUGCCAUGGGGGGGCGCUCUUUUGGGGAGUAAAAAUUCCUUCACAAAUGUGUUGAUGGCUGGACAUUGCAUCAUCCUAGAAAACUUGGAGGGCAUUGAGGACAAAAAUAAAAAGUUAUAAGACUUUUAAGAAUGUGGAUUUUGGGUUAUCUUUGGCGCCCCCUAGAACGUAAACCGUGGGGUGCAGCGUCAUGAUUUGUACAACUUUUAAUGGCCAUGGGGGGUAGAUUGGCCUGCGCAAAUGUGGUGCCGGUCGAACGAAAGCCUUCGGAGGAGUUAGCGAAAUUCCAAUGUGUGCAGAUCUGCAAAAAAUGCAAAAUAACCCAUUAACCGUACAUUUGACAGAUACGCCCGCACUGACUUUUUUGUAGAUCUUAUUGAGAUACAUGUGUGUGUCAAUUUUUGUGUCAUUUUGACAAAGCGUACAGCCGUCAUGUGAAUUUUCACCUUAGGGGGCGCUAUGGAGCCAUUUUGCAUUUUAUUGUUUGGGCGACUUCAGAAUAUCGAAUUUUUCACCAGGCCCGGUCGUCCUGCCAAAUUUCCUGAGUUUUCGCCAGUGGGAAGUGGGCCAUUUUCCAGUUUAAAGCGGAGGAAAAAUAAUAACGAAAGAAGGAAACAUGCAGGAACAAGAGGGCUCUCGCAGCUGCUUAGCAGCUACGCUCGGGCCCUAAUAAUACUAGGGCCCCGUUGGGGCACUGGCGGGCCCGAGCUGUGUCGCCCCCCCCCCCCCCCCCCCCCCCCCCCAACGCGCUGCCUCCCCGUCCCAUUCGCGUCCUCUGGCCAUCGUCCUCUCUGGUAACGCCCAUCACUGCAAAGACCCUUUUCCUUCAUCGGCGUUUGCUGUUCUUCCUGCCAGUGCGUGUUGCUUUCACUUACACUUGCCACAGCCAGCCUUGUGAGUGCCUAGCCUAUUGGAUAUCACUGUCACCUACACAGGACAGUCAUUACCUUUCUAUUAAUACUUUGUUUUUUAAUUUCACAUUAAUUUCCAUAUUGUAUAAACGACUGGAAAAAACUUGAGCCCCCGCCCCCGUAUAAUCAUGUGCACGUCCCUGUUCUCGCUCCAAGGUGAAUCUUCACUGCUCAUGUUCUCCUCAGAAGCACUCACCUCACUCCCCUCAGGUUACUGUACACAUGCACCAACUGCCUGCUUCAGGUUUGGAUGGAGCUUCAUGGUUGUCUUUUGGAGAAAUGACCAGUCAAGUUGUGUUUGAAAUUUGAUUUUUUUCAGGGGCAAAAGGAAGCCUCUGCAUUGUUGUCAAAUAUGUAAAUAGCAUGUUUUUGCAGGUGCUAAAAAACAGACUCUGAGUGUGUGUGUGUGUGUGUGUGUGUGUGUGUCUGUGUGUGUGUGUGUCUGUGUGUGUGUAUCCUGCAGUACUCUGUACUCCUGCAGUGGCCAAAACGACUUUUAAGAAUGUGGAUAUUUGGGUCAUCUUUGGCGCCCCCUAGAACGUAAACCAUGGGGUGCAGCGGCAUGAUUUUUACAACUUUGAAUGGCCAUGGGGUGUAGAUUGGCCUGAGCAAAUUUGGUGUCAGUGGGACGAAAGCCUUAGGAGGAGGUAGCCACAUUCCAAUGUGUGCGAAUCGGCAAAAAAUGCAAAAUAGCCCUUUAGCCGUACAUUUUACAGAUACGCGCCCAUUGACUUUUUCGUAGAUCUUAUUGAGAUACACGUGUGUAUCAAAUUUUUUGUCAAUAUGACAAAGCGUACAGGCGUGACACUCAACAAUGUGUAUUUUCACCUUAGGGGACAAGAAAAAAUGGACUUUUUAUUCCUGCCAUGGGGGGGCGCUCUUUUGGGGAGUAAAAAUUCCUUCACAAAUGUGUUGAUGGCUGGACAUUGCAUCAUCCUAGAAAACUUGGAGGCCAGUGAGGACAAAAAAAAAAAUUUAUAAAACUUUUAAGAAUGUGGAUUUUUGGGUUAUUUUUGGCGCCCCCUAGAACCUAAACCAUGGGGUGCAGCAUUAUGAUUUGUACAACUUUGAAUGGCCAUGGAGUGUAGAUUGGCCUGAGCAAAUGUGGUGCCGGUGGAACGAAAGCCUUCGGAGGAGUUAGCGAAAUUCCAAUGUGUGCGGAUCUGCAAAAAAUGCAAAAUAACCCUUUAACCGUACAUUUGACAGAUACGCCCGCACUGACUUUUUUGUAGAUCUUAUUGAGAUACAUGUGUGUGUCAAUUUUUGUGUCAAUAUGACAAAGCGUACAGGCGUGACAGUCAAUAGUGUGAAUUUUCACCUUAGGGGGCGCUAUGGAGCCAUUUUGCAUUUUCUUGUUUGGGCGACUUCAGAAUAUCGAAUUUUUCACCAGGCCCGGUCGUCCUGCCAAAUUUCAUGAGUUUUCGCCAGUGGGAAGUGGGCCAUUUUCCAGUUUAAAGCGGAGGAAAAAUAAUAAUAACUAGGGCCCCGUUGGGGCACUGGCGGGCCCGAGCCGUGUCGCGCCGCCCCCAGCGCGACCGCCUACCCCUCCCGAUCGCGUCACACUCAAGGUCCAAAGAUGGUGUGCGCACUUGUCUGUGGUCAUUUACCAUUAUAAUGAAUGGGAGGCGCAGUUUCUACCAAAACGCUCGCUGCAGACAAACUCCAUGUCCUUUUUGAAAAAAGUCUGGACCAUGAGUGAGGGCACAAACACAGCUAGUAUAUAUCCAAAUGGCAAGUUGCUCCUCCUUUCGGUUUUGCCGAGAGAGCGAUGCGUUUGAGCCAUUGAGCGAUGGGCAGGAAAAACUUGACUUUUUCUCCUGCCAUGGGGGGGCGCUCUUUUGGGGAGUAAAAAUUCCUUCACAAAUGUGUUGAUGGCUGGACAUUGCAUCAUCCUAGAAAACUUGGAGGCCAGAGAGGACAAAAAUAAAAAGUUAUAAGACUUUUAAAUAUGUGGAUUUUAGGGUUAUCUUUGGCGCCCCCUAGAACCUAAACCGUGGGGUGCAGCGUCAUGAUUUUGAUAACUUUUAAUGGCCACGAGGUGUAGAUUGGCCUGAGCAAAUGUGGUGCCGGUGGAACGAAAGCCUUCGGAGGAGUUAGCCACAUUCCAAUGUGUGCGGAUCGGCAAAAAAUGCGAAAUAACCCUUUAACCGUACAUUUGACAGAUACGCCCGCACUGACUUUUUUGUAGAUCUUAUUGAGAUACAUGUGUGUGUCAAUUUUUGUGUCAUUUUGACAAAGCGUACAGGCGUGACAGUGAAUAGUGUGAAUUUUCACCUUAGGGGGCGCUAUGGAGCCAUUUUGCAUUUUCUUGUUUGGGCGACUUCGGAAUAUCAAAUUUUUCACCAGGCCCGGUCGUCCUGCCAAAUUUCAUGAGUUUUCGCCAGUGGGAAGUGGGCCAUUUUCCAGUUCAAAGGGGAGGAAAAAUAAUAAUAAUAAUAACUAGGACCCCGUUGGGGCACUGGCGGGCCCGCGCCGUGUCGCGUCCCCCCCCCCCCCC